rnacentral:rRNA from 2 species
UUGCUUGGCAACCAUAGCGUUCUGGACCCACCUGAUCCCAUCCCGAACUCAGAAGUGAAACGGAACUGCGCCGAUGAUAGUGUGGGGUCUCCCCAUGUGAAAGUAGGUCAUUGCCAGGCAUU